GCCAAGCCGUAAAAAUCAACCUACACAACCAACGCCAGGGAACUACGAGCACAGCUUAAAACCCAAAGGACUUGACGGUGUCCCACCCUACUAGAGGAGCCUGUUCUAUAACCGAUAAUCCACGUUAUACCCCACCAUCUCUCGCUUUUCAGCCUGUAUACCUCCGUCGCAAGCCUGCCAUGUGAACGCACAAUAGCAAGCUUAAGGACUUUAGCGCCAAUACGUCAGGUCAAGGUGCAGCUCAUGAAAUGGAACAUAAUGGGCUACAAUUUCUAUCUUAGAACAAACGAAAGACUACAUGAAACUUAGUCAUGAAGGCGGAUUUAGCAGUAAAUAGGAAACAGAAAGCCCCAUUUAACCCGGCCCUGGGACGCGUACAAACCGCCCGUCACCCUCUUCAACAGUACCUCACCAGGCAUUAUAGCCCCCACCUACACCCUAGAAUAUGAAAGUCGUAACAUGGUAAGUGUACCGGAAGGUGCACUUGGAACAACAAAAUGUAGCUUAACAAAAGCCCCUCGCUUACACCGAGUAGAUGUCUGUGCACCCGGAUCAUUUUGAGCCCACCAUCUAGCCCACAACCACAACACAUACCUUAUCAUCCGAAAUAAGUAAAAUAAAACAUUUUAACUCUUUAGUAAAGGCGAUCAAAAUUUACCUAGGCGCUUUAGAAAAAGUACCGCAAGGGAAAAAAUGAAAGAAAAAUGAAAUAACUCCAAAGCCUAAAACAACAGAGACACUCACUCGUACCUUUCGCAUCAUGGCCUAGCCAGUUCAACCAAGCAAAAUGAAAAUUUUAGUUUGCCCCCCCGAAACUAAGCGAGCUACUUCAAAACAGCUUUAAGAGCUAACCCGUCUCUGUGGCAAUAGAGUGGGGCGAUUUUCUAGUAGAGGUGACAAACCUACCGAGCUUAGAAAUAGCUGGUUACUCAGGAAAAGAAUUUUAGUUCUGCCUUAAAUCUCCCCACGCCGUAAAACAAACCAAAGAUUUAAGAGUUACUCAAUUAAGGCACAGCUUACUUGAAACAGGAUACAACCUAAACAACGGGGUAAAAGCCCGCCACCAUACGCAGUGGGCCUAAAAGCAGCCACCUCUAAAAAGCGUCAAAGCUUAAUAUAACACUUUCUUCCCAUCCCAUUAAUAGCCAUGAACCCCUCACCCCCACUGAGUGAUACCAUAAACAUAUGGUAAGCACCAUGCUAGGACUAGUAACAAGAAUACACAAUUCUCCGAAAUGUAAACGCAAGCCAGAAUGAAUACCCCACCGGCAGCUAACGAAAAUGAAUCAACUACAGCAACAUCAACAAGAAAACCCUGUAACUACCCUCGUUAACCUAACACCAGAACAUUCCAGGAAAGAUUAACAGAAGGGGAAGGAACUCGGCAAACCCCAACCCCGCCUGUUUACCAAAAACAUCGCCUCUUGACCACAUAAGAGGUCUAGCCUGCCCAGUGACAAAAUUCAACGGCCGCGGUACCCUAACCGUGCAAAGGUAGCAUAAUCACUUGUUCUUUAAAUAAGGACUCGUAUCAACGGCACCACGAGGGUUGCACUGUCUCCCCCCUCUAAUCAGUGAAACUGAUCUCCCCGUGAAGAAGCGGGGGUACAACUAUAAGACGAGAAGACCCCAUGGAGCUUAAAACCUACAGCAACUCAAUUUCCCCCACCCCCCCACAGCCCAAAGAGACAUGCAUAGCGGUUUUAGGUUGGGGCGACCGCGGAGUAAAAACUAACCUCCACGACGAAAAGA
rnacentral:misc_RNA from 1 species